UACGAAGGGUACUAGCGUUGUUCGGAAUUACUGGGCGUAAAGCGCACGUAGGCGGAUUUGUAAGUCAGGGGUGAAAUCCCGGGGCUCAACCUCGGAACUGCCUUUGAUACUGCAAAUCUCGAGUCCGAUAGAGGUGGGUGGAAUUCCUAGUGUAGAGGUGAAAUUCGUAGAUAUUAGGAAGAACACCGGUGGCGAAGGCGGCUCACUGGUCCGGUACUGACGCUGAGGUGCGAAAGCGUGGGGAGCAAACAGG
rnacentral:rRNA from 1 species